rnacentral:rRNA from 1 species
GUCCAUGGCCAUGCCACCCUGAAGAAGCCCGAUUCCGUCUGAUCUUGGAAGCUAAGCAGGGUCGGGCCUGGUUAGUAUUUGGAUGGGAGACCACCUAGCUAGACCAGGUGCUGUAGGCA